rnacentral:rRNA from 1 species
GACAGAGGGUGCAAACGUUGUUCGGAAUUACUGGGCGUAAAGCGUGUGUAGGCGGUCCGCUAAGUCGGGUGUGAAAGCCCUGGGCUCAACCUGGGAACUGCAUCCAAAACUACUGAGCUAGAGUACGGUAGAGGGUAGUGGAAUUUCCUGUGUAGCGGUGAAAUGCGUAGAUAUCAGGAGGAACGCCGGCGGCGAAAGCGGCUCUCUGGCCUGUUACUGACGCUGAGGCGCGAAAGCUAGGGGAGCAAACGGG